GGUAGUUUGCCGUCAACAGCAAGUUGUGGAUCUUCUCAUCAGUCCGAUGUGUCCAUUUCCAGUGUUUUCAUGAUGGUUCUCCCAGUUCAAACGUUCACCAAAGUCAUGAUAACACUGAGGCAGCAACUAUUGCUGCAAUUGACCAAAUACGUGGCAUGCGGGGAA